UACGUAGGGGGCAAGCGUUGUCCGGAUUUAUUGGGCGUAAAGAGCGUGUAGGCGGCCACACAGGUCCGCUGUGAAAACUCGAGGCUCAACCUCGAGCUGUCGGUGGAAACCGUGUGGCUAGAGUCCGGAAGAGGAGAGUGGAAUUCCCGGUGUAGCGGUGAAAUGCGCAGAUAUCGGGAAGAACACCCGUGGCGAAGGCGGCUCUCUGGGCCGAUACUGACGCUGAGGAGCGAAAGCGUGGGGAGCGAACAGG
rnacentral:rRNA from 1 species